rnacentral:lncRNA from 1 species
GCACAAAGACCCAGUGAGGUCACCUGCUGUCGGGUGGAUGACUUGGGAGCUGGGAGUGACUGCAUGGUACAAGUCUGUUCCAUGAGAAACACUGAAAGAAAAAAGGAGUAUGUGUCUCUGGAUGGUGAUUGUAUGAUGCAGAGGAGAGGAGAAGGAAGGCUUGAGCCUGAUGGGAGAGAAAUCACAUCACGGUAGCAAGAUGGGAAAAAAGGAAUUGGUCCAAGAUCUCACUCUUAGCUGCCAAAUGGCCAUGGCAACAGGACCUUUUGCUUAGUGUGACAGGAGCUGAAACAAGGUCCCUGGCACUCAGUGAGGGGUUGCCAUAGGGAGAAUUGGAGGGUUCUGGGCAUGCUAAGCACCGGGCUUGGAAAACACAGAGGAGAGCCAGCACCCAUUGGCUGUGGGCCUGGAACCAAGAGGUCUUUCAUGACUGAUGAGUUCCACCAGCCUGGAGGCCCCGUGUUUCUAAUUGUUGGAGGUGAAAGCACUGCUGAGAGAGCUUGGCUGUCCAGGAGAGUUCCCUGAUGGAGAAUGCUAAGAAACUGGGGGGCCCUCUGCUUCUUUGUGGAACACAGAUUUUACAGAAAAAGCAGGCCAACCUUGUACGUUUAUGAGUUUUUGUACUCCUUCUUUAAAUGAAAUAACGCUGACUGUUCAUGUUCUUAAACAUAAUCUCACGUUCAAAGUCUAAACUUGAAAAGACAUUUACAGUGUCAGUGUCAAAAUUCUCUCCUAUUAGCACUGAAAGGACUUGAAAUGAAUGAAAUUUAAACUCUGAAAAUAACCCACCACUCAGAGGCAGUAGUGACCAUUUUAUUAAAAACUGUUUGUCAUAGUUAAGUGUAAUGUCAAAGUUUUGACUCACAGCAACACAGGAGCAGGAUAAAGAGUCUAGUUGUUCAGGAUUUUACUCUUCCAUUCUGGUAUUUUUGUGUAUUGUAUAGUGGGAAAAUUUGAUUUUUAAAAGAACUUACUUAUAAUUAAUAUCAUUAAAUAAAAUCAAACAAAACCAAUUAUAAAGGGCUUCUAAAAGUUGUAAAUAUAUCAAACUUUAGUGCACUGUCUUUAAAUCUCAUUUUAACAAGAAAGCAUGCAUUGCUUUUCAUAACCUCAAGAAUGCUAUUAAUGUCAGUAAAAUGG